GGAGGGUAUAGCUCAGUGGUAGAGCAUGUGCUUAGCAUGCACAAGGUCCUGGGUUCAAGCCCCAGUACCUCCA
rnacentral:tRNA from 1 species